CUAGCGACUUCAGAGUUUGAUCCUGGCUCAGGAUGAACGCUAGCUACAGGCUUAACACAUGCAAGUCGAGGGGCAGCACAGUGUAGCAAUACAUGGGUGGCGACCGGCGCACGGGUGCGUAACGCGUAUCCAACCUUCCCGUUACUCUUGGAUAGCCUUCCGAAAGGGAGAUUAAUACAAGAUGGUAUUCAAAUUUCGCAUGUUAUUUGAAUUAAAGAUUUAUCGGUAACGGAUGGGGAUGCGUGACAUUAGGUAGAUGGCGGGGUAACGGCCCACCAUGCCUACGAUGUCUAGGGGUUCUGAGAGGAAGGUCCCCCACACUGGAACUGAGACACGGUCCAG
rnacentral:rRNA from 1 species